CCAACGGCGCUCAUUCGCUUGUGAGCAGCCGUCAGUGUCGCGUGUGCCAGCAGCGGGAUAAAAUAGAAAUAGUUACCUAGAAUAUCUAGCAGUGCAUAAAUGCAAAUAUAAACUGAACUAACUGUGCUAAUUCAACCAGAAAUAACUGUUAACCUAAACGGUGUGAACACGCUAAUUGAACGCAGUGCAGAUACAAUUAAAAUCGAGUGAAACCAAAUUAGAUCCCGAGAGAUUUUCAGCAAGUGCAACGGUAACAACGUAUAAUGGCACCAACAAUCACUGACAAUUGCGAAUUUGAAUGUGCAACUGUUGAGGCAACAACAACAACAACAUCAGCGAUUACCAUCGGUGAUUCCGAUCAUUUCGAUAGUUCGGCCAUCGGCAGCAGCGGCGAUAACUUCGAAGAAUCGAAUGAACUGCAUUUGAACGGGCAGCAGGAUCAGGAUGUUCAGGAGGAGGAGCAGCAGCAGCAGCAGCAGCAAAUGCCAUGGGAGGCACCUGGAAAACAGGGACUCUACGAUCCCCAGAACGAGCACGAGGCCUGCGGAGUCGGUUUCAUCGUGGCCAUCGAUGGCAAACGCUCUCACAAGAUUCUACGUGAUGCCCAGACCCUCUCAGAACGGAUGAAUCACCGCGGCGCCUGCGCCUGCGACAAUGACACUGGCGAUGGCGCUGGCGUCUUGGCUUCCAUUCCUCACGGACUCUACUCCAAGGCACUUGCCAAGCAGGGUGUAACCUUGCCGGAGUUGGGUGACUAUGCCACGGGCAUUUUCUACUUGGAUGAGGCUCAGCAUGCAGCUGCCGAGAAGGAGUUCGAUGAUCUGGCCAAGAGUCUUGGAUUGGAGGUGAUUGCCUGGCGCACUGUGCCGUCCAAUCAGUCAGCCAUUGGCGUGGUGGCCCGCAAGUCGGAGCCCCUGUCCCGUCAGGUGUUUGUGCGUCGUCCCGCCGGAAGCGAUGAGAAGGCCUUCGAACGGCAGGUUUUCGUCCUAAGGAAGAGGGCCAGCCAUGAGUUGAUCAAGCCGGGACGACGGUUCUACAUCUGCUCCCUGUCUGACCGCACAGUGGUCUACAAGGGACUCUUCACUUCCGACCAGCUGUGGGAUUACUACACGGACCUGAAGGAUCCAGAGUUCGAAACCUACUUGGCAUUGGUCCAUACUCGUUUCUCCACCAACACCUUUCCCAGUUGGGAAAGGGCUCAUCCUCUGCGCGUCCUGGCCCACAAUGGUGAGAUCAACACGCUCCGGGGAAAUGUGAACCUCAUGAAGGCUCGCGAGGGUGUCAUGCAGUCGGAUCUGUUUGGGGAUCAGCUGAAGAAACUGUACCCAGUGGUGGAGCCGAAUCUCUCGGAUUCCGGCAGCUUCGAUUGCGUGCUGGAGUUCCUCACCAUGGCCAGCGACAGAUCGUUGCCGGAAUCGGUGAUGACCAUGGUGCCGGAGGCAUGGCAGAAUGACAAGACUAUGCCGCAGGAGAAGCGUGACUUCUACCAGUGGGCAGCCUGUGUCAUGGAACCCUGGGACGGUCCGGCUCUUAUUAGCUUCACCGAUGGUCGCUACAUUGGCGCCGUUUUGGAUCGUAAUGGACUGCGUCCAUCGCGUUUCUACGUAACCAAGGAGAACGUGCUGGUCAUGGCUUCUGAGGUGGGUGUGUACGAUGUGGAUCCAUCGCAGGUGACCCUGAAGAGCCGCUUGAAGCCCGGCAGGAUGUUGCUGGUGGACACCAAGGAGAAGAAGCUCAUCCAGGACAUCGAACUGAAGGCCAAGAUUGCCAAGUCUAGGCCUCAUUCCGAGUGGCUGCAGCAGAAGAUGAUUACCCUGGAUGAGAUUCGCAACGCCAAUGUGUUGAAUACUCCUCCCGUUGAUGAGCUGGCCAAGUUGCCCGCCUCCCAGAGGGGCAUCUUCGAUCCCAGGCUCUCUCUUUUCGGUUAUUCCACGGAAACGGUCAAUAUGCUGCUCAUUCCCAUGUUCAAGAACAAGAAGGAAGCCCUUGGCUCCAUGGGUAAUGAUGCCCCGCUGGCAUGCCUCUCCAACUUCCAGCCCAUACCGUAUGAGUACUUCAAGCAGCUCUUCGCCCAGGUAACCAAUCCGCCCAUCGAUCCAUUCCGCGAGAAGGUGGUCAUGUCGAUGCAGUGUCCUCUCGGUCCGGAGGCGAAUCUUCUGCAGCCAUCGGCUCAGCAGGUGCAUCGCAUUUGGCUCACCAAUCCCAUACUGAGCAUUCCAGAUACCCAGCUGCUCAAGCGGAAUACGCACCGCGGCUGGCGGACCAAGGUCUUGGACAUAACAUUCCAGUAUAACGAAGGCGUUCAGGGUUAUAUCGACGCCAUCGAUCGUGUCUGCCGCGAAGGAUAUGCUGCAGCUCAAGCUGGCUACCAGUUGUUGGUGAUCUCCGAUCGUGGAGCGGGAAUCGAUGGUAAGGUGGCAGUCUCAGCCCUUUUGGCCCUCGGCGCCUUGCAUCAUCAUCUGAUUGAGACACUGCAGCGCAUGAAGGUGGGCAUUGUGGUGGAAACUGCUGAGGCCCGGGAAGUUCACCAUAUUUGUGUACUCCUUGGCUACGGAGCGGAUGCCAUUUGUCCAUAUCUGGCUUUCGAAUUGGCCCAGGCUCUGCGUGAUGACGGAGUAAUUGCGCCUGAGGUUAACGACAAGCAGAUUUAUGCCGCCUAUGCCCAAGCUAUUGACACGGGAAUCGCAAAAGUAAUGGCCAAAAUGGGCAUCAGCACUUUGCAAUCCUACAAGAGCGCCCAGAUCUUUGAGGCUGUUGGAUUGGGUUCCGACCUGGUGGCCAAGUGCUUCCGCGGCACCCAAAGUCGCAUCGGUGGAGUCACCCUGGAAAUUCUGGCCAAGGAGGGCCUUCAACGCUAUCAACUAACCUAUGGCAAGGCAACGCCAGACACACGCAUCCUGCGGAAUCCUGGCCAGUACCACUGGCGUCACGGUGGCGAGGCUCACAUUAACGAGCCAUCCUCCAUUGGCAGCCUGCAGGAAGCGGCCGUUAAUAAGAAUCUGGAUGCAUUUGAAGCCUUUAAGAAAACCACUCUGGAUAGUGUGAAGAAGUGUGCUCUUCGCGGACAGCUGGAGUUUGUUACAGAUCGGCAAAGUAUUGAUAUCUCCGAGGUGGAGCCCGCUAGCGAGAUUGUCAAGCGCUUUGCCACUGGUGCCAUGAGCUUUGGCAGCAUCUCCCUGGAGGCUCAUCAAACACUUUCGAUCACCAUGAAUCGUAUUGGUGGCAAGAGCAACACUGGUGAAGGUGGCGAGGACUCAGAUCGUUAUUUAAACCAAGAUCCAAACAACAGUCGUCGCUCGGCCAUCAAGCAGGUGGCUUCGGGUCGUUUUGGCGUAACCGCAUCCUACCUGGCUAAUGCCGAUGAUCUGCAGAUCAAAAUGGCUCAGGGCGCCAAGCCGGGUGAGGGUGGCGAGCUGCCAGGUUACAAGGUGACCAAGGAUAUUGCCAAGACCCGAAAGUCCGUACCCGGAGUGGGCUUAAUCUCGCCUCCACCUCAUCACGAUAUCUACUCCAUCGAGGAUCUGGCUGAGCUGAUCUAUGAUCUUAAAUGCUCCAAUCCGAAUGCCCGCAUCAGUGUGAAGCUGGUGUCCGAAGUGGGCGUUGGUGUCGUCGCUUCCGGUGUUGCCAAGGGCAAAGCCGAGCACAUUGUAAUCUCUGGACAUGAUGGUGGUACCGGAGCUAGCUCCUGGACAGGCAUCAAGAAUGCAGGAUUACCCUGGGAGCUGGGUGUGGCCGAGACGCAUCAGGUUCUGGUGCUAAAUAAUCUACGAUCACGAUGACAGCGUUGGAAAACCUGUUCAGAACAUGUAUUCCCAAAAGCAGAGAUCCAUUGAUCAUCGGAAAGUUGGGCUGAUCCCCCUACACAACCCCAUUGAAACUCCUCGUACAUGUGGCCAGUGGGCGGUGGGCAGGAGGACGAUGACACGGCGCUUGGGGAAGGCGAAUCUUGUCCAGCGGAAGAGCGCUCAAUGAGAAUUUUAAAUUCUUUGAAAUCUGACAAAUGAAAGAUGUCUCAAUUGCGAACCCAUGGACAUGAUCCAGUGUGAGGAAACGGAUACAGUGAAAGAUCGAUCCAUUCAAAAUGAAGAAGUAGCGCAUUCUUUGGACAGAGACCUUUGAAGUAAUGAGUAUCACUCAACCGAUCUCCAGAUCCUAGCUACAGAAACCCGCUUCCAAACAGCUGUAAAACACGAUUCGAUCGAUCCAGUCCAAAUCCAAACUCCAGUCCACUCGCUCUACUCCACUCCACUCACUCGCUCACUCGAUCACGUUCGUCGCGCUGUGCUCCAUUCUGUGAUUGUUCAGGCCGAUGGACAGCUCCGCACAGGAUUCGAUGUGGUGGUGGCUGCACUGCUGGGUGCUGAUGAGUUUGGUUUCAGUACUGC
rnacentral:misc_RNA from 1 species